rnacentral:rRNA from 1 species
UACGUAGGGGGCAAGCGUUUGUCCGGAUUUAUUGGGCGUAAAGAGCGUGUAGGCGGCCAGACAGGUCAGCUGUGAAAACUCGAGGCUCAACCUCGAGACGUCGGUUGAAACCGUCUGGCUAGAGUCCGGAAGAGGAGAGUGGAAUUCCCGGUGUAGCGGUGAAAUGCGCAGAUAUCGGGAAGAACACCCGUGGCGAAGGCGGCUCUCUGGGACGGUACUGGACGCUGAGACGCGAAAGCGUGGGGAGCGAACGAGG